rnacentral:lncRNA from 1 species
GACAGUUCAGAAGAUCUAUUCAUCAAGAACCUUCCAACAUCAACCUUUCAGUGAGGUUCAAAUCAGGGGGAGUAAUACAUGUUGUACUAUUUUUCCUUAUCCAUGGUUUUGUCCCACUGGGUUUUCCUGGAAAGGUUUUAAUGAGGCAACAUCCAAAGCAUAUUACGAGCUCUUAUGGUUAUAACAUUCAUGGGGAGUAUUAUGAACCGAUUUGUGAAUGCCAUAACCAAAUAGGCAUAUUUUCUUUCUACUUAGACAGUUUCCUUUUUCUUGUAUGCUUAGGAUUUCUUUUUCCUAAUCACUUUAGGAUUUGUAUACUUUUCAUUUAUCUAUGACG